UGAUGUGGGCCGCACGGUUAAGCAUGAGUUGAAUUAAUUUUGUUAGGCCCACGCACGCCACGAGCACAACGCUAGAAGGCGACAAAGAAACCACCCAAACUCAAUAACCGGAUCAAGCAGUUCCUUUCAUUUUCAUCGAUCGGAGAAAACUGAAAUAAAACUACCACCGCCUGAGGUCUCUCUCUCUCUUCCGCGCUACCAUCGUUGGAUUUUCUGGCUACAUCAAUUUAUACAACUAGAUCCGUGCGAAGGAUAUCCUUUCGCUUUCACUUGUUAGAUCUACACGAUACGACAACCUAUGCAAGGUGAAUGUCGGAGUUCCAUUCAUGAAAUUUUCAUUUCAUAAGUGUCGCAUAAUGGUCGCAUAGCGGAGUGGAUAUCGCGUUAGACUCCGGAUCUAAAGGUCGUGGGUUCGAAUCCCACUGCGAUCGCUUCCCCUUUUUUCUUCUUCUCAAAAUACUGCUUUUCGUUUUUUUUUUUUUCUUGUUUUUUCCGUCUGUAUUUGAUUUGUUCCCAAUAAUUUGCCCUAUUUGGGAAUUGCGUGGUUGUGAUUAUGCAAACUUUUUUUUCUCACAAAUAAUGUAUUUGGCUUUUGACAAAUGAGUGACAAAAUCAAUUGAUCACUAAUCUAACAGGAGCUGAUCAAACUUGUUGAAUUUGAGCAAA